UGGGGAAUUUUGGACAAUGGGGGCAACCCUGAUCCAGCCAUUCCGCGUGAGUGAAGAAGGCCUUCGGGUUGUAAAGCUCUUUUGUCCGGAACGAAACGGAUACGUCUAAUACGCGUGUCUACUGACGGUACCGGAAGAAUAAGCACCGGCUAACUUCGUGCCAGCAGCCGCGGUAAUACGAAGGGGGCGAGCGUUGUUCGGAGUUACUGGGCGUAAAGGGCGCGUAGGCGGCGCUCCAAGUUAGGCGUGAAAGCCCCGGGCUCAACCUGGGAAUUGCGCUUAAGACUGGAGUGCUCGAGUGCGGAAGAGGUGAGUGGAAUUCCCAGUGUAGAGGUGAAAUUCGUAGAUAUUGGGAAGAACACCAGUGGCGAAGGCGGCUCACUGGUCCGCAACUGACGCUGAGGCGCGAAAGCGUGGGGAGCAAA
rnacentral:rRNA from 1 species